CCUACGGGGGGCUGCAGUGGGGAAUAUUGGACAAUGGGCGAAAGCCUGAUCCAGCCAUGCCGCGUGUGUGAAGAAGGCCUUCGGGUUGUAAAGCACUUUCAGUGGGGAAGAAAGCCUUGGGGCUAAUACCCUCGAGGAAGGACAUCACCCACAGAAGAAGCACCGGCUAACUCCGUGCCAGCAGCCGCGGUAAUACGGAGGGUGCGAGCGUUAAUCGGAAUUACUGGGCGUAAAGCGCGCGUAGGCGGUCUGAUAAGCCGGUUGUGAAAGCCCCGGGCUCAACCUGGGAACGGCAUCCGGAACUGUCAGGCUAGAGUGCAGGAGAGGAAGGUAGAAUUCCCGGUGUAGCGGUGAAAUGCGUAGAGAUCGGGAGGAAUACCAGUGGCGAGGGCGGCCUUCUGGACUGACACUGACGCUGAGGUGCGAAAGCGUGGGUAGCAAACAGGAUUAGAUACCCUAGUAGUC
rnacentral:rRNA from 1 species